UACGGAGGGGACUAGCGUUGUUCGGAAUUGCUGGGCGUAAAGCGCACGUAGGCGGAUUUGUAAGUCAGGGGUGAAAUCCCGGGGCUCAACCUCGGAACUGCCUUUGAUACUGCAAAUCUCGAGUCCGGAAGAGGUGAGUGGAAUUCCUAGUGUAGAGGUGAAAUUCGUAGAUAUUAGGAAGAACACCAGUGGCGAAGGCGGCUCACUGGUCCGGUACUGACGCUGAGGUGCGAAAGCGUGGGGAGCAAACAGGG
rnacentral:rRNA from 1 species